CGUGUGCUAAAAAUACGCAUCAGUCGGAAAGCGCACGUAAAUCUCCAAAGUAAGUAGGUAAGUAAGUUAUUAUCUUUCCUAAAUAAGUCCUCAGCAUCAACUGUCAGUGCAGUUGAUCGGCCAGCUGAGGGGGAAGAGAGAGCAGAGGAGAUAGAAGAAGUGGAUAUAAUGGAUACAGAGGAUACUGAUGAGACUGCACUCUGCUUGUAACUCUGCACUGACAGGACAUGGACUACAUAUAGUUCAGGGAAGGUGUCAGACAACAGACGAACCUGUCCAGCUACUUGUGCGAUCUUCAUUUCUGGAAAGGACAUUCUUCAAAAUAACAAAAAUGCCUAAAGGUCAACGUAAAGUCGAAUCCACUCAAAACAAGAAACCCUACUCCAGUCCGUCGAAACUCCUAGAAUGGGAUUUUGCUUAAUUCUACAAGGCAUCUAGGGAUAAGUUCAGCAAUAUUGAAAAUCGUAUUAGUGUGAGUCAGCUGCCUGAAGCCUGUGCUUUAGAAGUGCUGAGCCGGGAAGGUUAAACUCGGUGAUGGAGUAGAAUUAUACAAAUUCUAUGUCAAGACUGCAUUCGAUGAAAUCCCGAAGGACCAUGCCUGUUUUCAUCCCAGAGAGGUUUGAACAAGAAGCCAAAAACUGUACGCAUAUGGUUUUUCGAGGUCAAGUGAAGACCAGCAAGAACUUGAUGGCCAACAGUUUGCAGGUUUUUUUUAAAGUAAACAGAAACAAGAAGCAGGGAGCGGGAAAAACAGUUGGACUAUCUGAAACUACAGCCAGUAGAGCUGUCACUAACGUCACUGUCGACGAGGACGACGACGGGGAUGAUUGUCAUCAUGAAAGUGGUAGUGACAUGAAGAAGCAUAAUGAAACAGUCAUCAUUAGCGACGAAGAGAGUGAUGACACGACAUUCUGCCAGAAUAGGGGGAAAUGUGAUCCGGCGGACAUGACAUAUUUCUACACCGUAUGUGGUGGACCGCAUGGUCAUGAAUUCCAGCAUUUUGAGGAUGAAAUGGACUUUUUAUAUUGUUUUGGUUGUGGUAAACUUUUGAAGUAACAUUUGUGAUAAAUUUUAAAAACCGAGUCCAUUAUCCGUGAUGGAUCGCUGUAAGUUUUUAUUUUGUCUAAGGCGCUGCGAUUCGCACGUCAGAAACCUAUUAUCGUGGGUUUGAAUCCCGGUUCGCUCCGAUUAUGUUUCUAGGUUUGUCAGCACCAUAGCCAUGCUCGUAGGU